rnacentral:rRNA from 1 species
UGAGUAACCUGCCCUUAACUCUGGGAUAAGCCUGGGAAACUGGGUCUAAUACCGGAUAUGACUCCUCAUCGCAUGGUGGGGGGUGGAAAGCUUUUNUGUUUGGUU